GAUGAGCGCUGGCGGCGUGCCUAAUACAUGCAAGUCGAGCGAACGGACGAGAAGCUUGCUUCUCUGAUGUUAGCGGCGGACGGGUGAGUAACACGUGGAUAACCUACCUAUAAGACUGGGAUAACUUCGGGAAACCGUAGCUAAUACCGGAUAAUAUUUUGAACCGCAUGGUUCAAAAGUGAAAGACGGUCUUGCUGUCACUUAUAGAUGGAUCCGCGCUGCAUUAGCUAGUUGGUAAGGUAACGGCUUACCAAGGCAACGAUGCAUAGCCGACCUGAGAGGGUGAUCGGCCACACUGGAACUGAGACACGGUCCAGACUCCUACGGGAGGCAGCAGUAGGGAAUCUUCCGCAAUGGGCGAAAGCCUGACGGAGCAACGCCGCGUGAGUGAUGAAGGUCUUCGGAUCGUAAAACUCUGUUAUUAGGGAAGAACAUAUGUGUAAGUAACUGUGCACAUCUUGACGGUACCUAAUCAGAAAGCCACGGCUAACUACGUGCCAGCAGCCGCGGUAAUACGUAGGUGGCAAGCGUUAUCCGGAAUUAUUGGGCGUAAAGCGCGCGUAGGCGGUUUUUUAAGUCUGAUGUGAAAGCCCACGGCUCAACCGUGGAGGGUCAUUGGAAACUGGAAAACUUGAGUGCAGAAGAGGAAAGUGGAAUUCCAUGUGUAGCGGUGAAAUGCGCAGAGAUAUGGAGGAACACCAGUGGCGAAGGCGACUCUCUGGUCUGUAACUGACGCUGAUGUGCGAAAGCGUGGGGAUCAAACAGGAUUAGAUACCCUGGUAGUCCACGCCGUAAACGAUGAGUGCUAAGUGUUAGGGGGUUUCCGCCCCUUAGUGCUGCAGCUAACGCAUUAAGCACUCCGCCUGGGGAGUACGACCGCAAGGUUGAAACUCAAAGGAAUUGACGGGGACCCGCACAAGCGGUGGAGCAUGUGGUUUAAUUCGAAGCAACGCGAAGAACCUUACCAAAUCUUGACAUCCUUUGACAACUCUAGAGAUAGAGCCUUCCCCUUCGGGGGACAAAGUGACAGGUGGUGCAUGGUUGUCGUCAGCUCGUGUCGUGGGAUGUUGGGUUAAGUCCCGCAACGAGCGCAACCCUUAAGCUUAGUUGCCAUCAUUAAGUUGGGCACUCUAAGUUGACUGCCGGUGACAAACCGGAGGAAGGUGGGGAUGACGUCAAAUCAUCAUGCCCCUUAUGAUUUGGGCUACACACGUGCUACAAUGGACAAUACAAAGGGCAGCGAAACCGCGAGGUCAAGCAAAUCCCAUAAAGUUGUUCUCAGUUCGGAUUGUAGUCUGCAACUCGACUACAUGAAGCUGGAAUCGCUAGUAAUCGUAGAUCAGCAUGCUACGGUGAAUACGUUCCCGGGUCU
rnacentral:rRNA from 1 species